rnacentral:lncRNA from 1 species
GCCUAUUGUAAACACCUAAAAUGAGAAAUAAAUCAAAACAGCCGAAAUAUUAUAAGUUUGGAAAACGCAGCUGGCUUCAAAGCAUCAUAUUCUUCAGACAUGGACCAAAUUUGUCAACUCUGAUCUUCUCCACUAUAUAAAGCAUAAGAAGCUCCAAUGUCUCAUUCUUUAAAAAAGAAAUUAUUUUGUAAAUAUCUGUAGUCGAAGCUACCGAUAGUCUUGUGCCACUUGGCAAACUUUUAAAUGGAAUGUGCAUCCCAUAUACAAUGUUACCAAUAUAACUUGCUACCCAAAAAACGUGUGAAAUUCAACCUUCAUUUCUAGUUAACUUGCAUUGUUUGCAUUAUUAAUACAAUAAAAUAAAGCAAAUUAAUAAUUGAGAGAUUGAUUGUACGAAGACCCAGCUUCGAGUUUAAGCAAUCAUUUGUUCUAGGAAUUAUAAUUGGUCACGUAGAAGGAUGUCUAGGGCUAUGUUUGCUUGAAAAUGGCUGUACAAUUUUUCUUAAUUGGCAACUUCCGCUUUGCUUUCCCUAACAGCAUGCCUAAAUUUCCUCAGGUCGGCCAUUUGGGCACCCAUGGGUUUCGUCACUGAGUGUGCCACCAUGUUAAGAUCUUCCUCGUGAGUCAAAGGUGGUGAAAAGACACUAUCACCCUUUGACUUGACAUAUAUACAAUAUCAUACGAGUUAUGAUGGAACAUAAGUAAUUCAAUUAAUAUUAAUUAAUUUGAUCAUUAAUGUGUCCAAUCAUUGAUUUCUUUCUCAUUCACGAGAAAUUGAUUCUAAGUAAGUCAGUAAGGAAAAUUUCUAAAAUACAUCUGAGCCACCGGGUCAGUCAUACAACAAGUAAAUAAUGGUAUGACAUGUGUGCAUUUAUUUAUCAUGUAAAUGGUGGUUAUAUUAAAUUUAACUACACAUGUCAUGCAUGUAUCAAUUGGUUGUAAUACAUCAGAGGUAUUCUAGAAUUUCUCAAUCAAUAAGAUUGAUUAACUAAAUAUUUUGUGAAUAAACUAGUUUCACCUUAUUUAACAUAAUUUUUUUGAAAUAUGUGGCACUAUGAUGUAGUGCAUUAUAAAUCUACUAAUAUUUCCAAUAAAAAAAAUAUAGUGGAAUCUUUGAAAUAACUAUAUUAUGAUGUAAUUUGAUAACUAGACAAAAAGUGAACUUAAUAUACCUUUAAAUAUUUAAAUGAAAAUUAUCUCCUAUUAUACGCAUGAGUAGACACAAAUUUGAGUAAAAGCCAUUUUGGUAAUACUAUACCUUUUAAAAUAUUUGUUACUAUAAAAAUAAUCAGCUUAAAAGAUAAUUAAUUAAAUGUUUAGUAAAAAUUAUUUUUAAAAUGUUGUUAGUUUUAAAAGGAGUCUUAUAUUAUUGGUAAAUUUUACUGUUAAAUUGUUGUAAGAAUGCAAAUAGUUGAAAUGAACAUAAUAUUAAUUUAUUUACACGUUCAUAUAUAUAUAUAUAUA